AGUGAACGCUGGCGGCAGGCCUAACACAUGCAAGUCGAACGGCAGCACAGUAAGUGCUUGCUCUUACGGCUGGCGAGUGGCGGGCGGGUGAGGAAUACAUCGGAAUCUACUUUUUCGUGGGGGAUAACGUAGGGAAACUUACGCUAAUACCGCAUACGACCUACGGGUGAAAGCAGGGGAUCUUCGGCCCUUGCGCGAUUGAAUGAGCCGAUGUCGGAUUAGUUAGUUGGCGGGGUAAAGGCCCACCAAGGCGACGAUCCGUAGCUGGCCUGAGCGGAUGAUCAGCCACACUGGAACUGAGACACGGUCCAGACUCCUACGGGAGGCAGCAGUGGGGAAUAUUGGACAAUGGGCGCAAGCCUGAUCCAGCCAUACCGCGUGGGUGAAGAAGGCCUUCGGGUUGUAAAGCCCUUUUAUUGGGGAAGAAAAGCAGUAGGUUAAUACCCCGCUGUUCUGACGGUACCCAAAGAAUAAGCACCGGCUAACUUCGUG
rnacentral:rRNA from 1 species